AUUCCCACUGCUGCAUAUCUGCUAUAGAGGCCUUUGAGUAGGAAAGAGCAGCAGUUAAACGCACAGGGAGCUGUUUGUCCCUUKCAUCCAAGAAGUGGAGUAUUUAUUUACCAAAUAAUACAUAAAUGCUUGUUGAAAAAUGUUGUCAUGAUGUUUUUCAAAGGAAACAAGAAAAUCUCAAUGCUCAAUCUCAGCUAGAUCCCUGCUAAAGUAGGACACCCUCCCUUAAGCCUUGAAAAACAGGACAUUUGAUAGUUACUUUUCUUUCUUCUCCCUAUUCCCCACCCCAAAGACAACACAGGUCACUGGUUCGGUGGCAAAAAAGAAAGAAAAAAGAAAAAGAAAAAGGGGCGAAUCAAGGCUUGAUGUUUGGAGGAUAAAUACCAAGACAGCAAGGUGAAAUUUCAGAGGUCUCUUACGGAGAUUCCGCUCCAUGCCAUGUUUGAAACUUAAUACAGCAUGAUGAUGUGCACGAGCAGUGGUUAUUCUUCUCAUAGAAUCUUAUGUCCUUCUCACAAGAAAAAAAUGAAAUAUGAAUUCUCCGUGUGUCUGCCACCUCAUCUUUGGAAAGAGACCCUUCAAAGGCCCUUUUUCUGAGCACCUAGGAGCAUGUUAAGGCUGGGUUCCUGAGCGGGGCUACAGCUGCAAUGAUUCCUCUUAGCUGCCUGGCCCUGAGGAGGCCCUUGGGAGAGAGGUGGCCCGCUUGGUGAUUCUGCCCCAUAGGAAAGGUCCAGCACAGAGGGAGCAGAGUGCAACUCUAUUGACACCUUGAGACUUUGAUUCUUCAUCCAGGUAUUCACCUAUCGGUUGUAGUAUCUCAAAGGGAAAUUACAUUUUGUAUCAAAAACACAUGUUUUCGGAAGAAAAAAAAUACUGAAAGUCCUGUUUUCAGUCAGAAGUGAGUUCAGUGUUACAAGUGUCAGAAAGUGGUUCUGUUAACAAGAUUCACUUAAGGACCGAUGCAUGA
rnacentral:lncRNA from 1 species